GCCUGGGUGACUCAGUGGUUGAGUGCCUGCCUUUGACUCAGGUUGUGAAGCCAGGGUCCUGGGAUCGAGUCCCACGUCGGGCU
rnacentral:tRNA from 1 species